rnacentral:lncRNA from 1 species
AGUCUUCCACUAGCAGCCAUUGGAUGAAGAAGUAGAACUCUCACUCUGCCUGUGCCAAGCCUGCCUGGAUACUGCCAUGUUCCCACCUUGAUGAUAACUAGACUGAACUUCUGAGCCUUCUUGGUGCAUGUAUGCUUGCAUGCGCGUCAGAAGACUGAAGUUCCAUUUGUCAUUUGUCACGGUGUUUGGAGGACUGGUUGAACCACCGGCUUCUGAGGAUUAUCUUGACUCUGUCUUCCACCUUGCCACAGGAGUGCUGGGACCACACUACCAUGUCUAGCUUUACACGGAUCCUGGAGACUCAAACCCAGGCCCCCAUGCUUGCGUGGCAAGCCCUUUACCCACCUUUGGCUAGUUUUAUGUCAAAUUAGUACAAGCUAGGGUUAUGUGAGAGGAGGGAACCUCAGUAAAGAAAAAUGCCUCUGUAAGAGCAGGCUGUAGGCCAGCCUGGAGGGGAUUUUCUCGGUUGCUGAUUGAUAAUGGAGGGCCCAGCCCAUUGUGGACGUUGCCACCCCUGGGCUGGCAGUGCUGUAAGAAAACAGGCUGACAAGUAUCAAGCUAGUAAGCAGUCUUUCCCGUGGCCUUUGUAUCUGCUCCUGCCUCUAGGUUCCUAGUCUGCUUGAGUUCCUGUCCUAACUUCCUCAGUGAUGGACUGGCUUCUGGAACUAUAAGUUGAAAUAAACCUUUUCUACCCC